ACCAAGGCAUCGAUCAGUAGCUGGUCUGAGAGGACGACCAGCCACACUGGAACUGAGACACGGUCCAGACUCCUACGGGAGGCAGCAGUGGGGAAUUUUGGACAAUGGGCGCAAGCCUGAUCCAGCAAUGCCGCGUGAGUGAAGAAGGCCUUCGGGUUGUAAAGCUCUUUUGUCAGGGAAGAAACGGUGGAGGCUAAUAUCCUCUGCUAAUGACGGUACCUGAAGAAUAAGCACCGGCUAACUACGUGCCAGCAGCCGCGGUAAUACGUAGGGUGCAAGCGUUAAUCGGAAUUACUGGGCGUAAAGCGUGCGCAGGCGGUUUUGUAAGACUGUCGUGAAAUCCCCGGGCUCAACCUGGGAAUGGCGAUGGUGACUGCAAGGCUAGAGUUUGGCAGAGGGGGGUAGAAUUCCACGUGUAGCAGUGAAAUGCGUAGAUAUGUGGAGGAACACCGAUGGCGAAGGCAGCCCCCUGGGUCAAAACUGACGCUCAUGCACGAAAGCGUGGGGAGCAAACAGGAUUAGAUACCCUGGUAGUCCACGCCCUAAACGAUGUCUACUAGUUGUCGGGUCUUAAUUGACUUGGUAACGCAGCUAACGCGUGAAGUAGACCGCCUGGGGAGUACGGUCGCAAGAUUAAAACUCAAAGGAAUUGACGGGGACCCGCACAAGCGGUGGAUGAUGUGGAUUAAUUCGAUGCAACGCGAAAAACCUUACCUACCCUUGACAUGGCUGGAAUCCC
rnacentral:rRNA from 1 species